AUUGAACGCUGGCGGCAUGCUUUACACAUGCAAGUCGAACGGUAACAGGCCGCAAGGUGCUGACGAGUGGCGAUCGGGUGAGUAAUGCAUCGGAACGUGCCCAGUCGUGGGGGAUAACUACUCGAAAGAGUAGCUAAUACCGCAUACGAUCUAUGGAUGAAAGCGGGGGACCGUAAGGCCUCGCGCGAUUGGAGCGGCCGAUGUCAGAUUAGGUAGUUGGUGGGGUAAAGGCUCACCAAGCCAACGAUCUGUAGCUGGUCUGAGAGGACAACCAGCCACACUGGGACUGAGACACGGCCCAGACUCCUACGGGAGGCAGCAGUGGGGAAUUUUGGACAAUGGGCGCAAGCCCGAUCCAGCAAUGCCGCGUGCAGGAAGAAGGCCUUCGGGUUGUAAACUGCUUUUGUACGGAACGAAACGGCUCUGGUUAAUACCCGGGGCUAAUGACGGUACCGUAAGAAUAAGCACCGGCUAACUACGUG
rnacentral:rRNA from 1 species